GUGUCAGCAGCCGCGGUAAAACGUAGGACGCGAACGUUAUCCGGAAUUACUGGGCGUAAAGGGCGCGCAGGCGGGUUCGUAAGUGAGGCAUGAAAGCCCCAGGCUAAACCUGGGGAGGCUGUCUGAGACUGCGGAUCUAGAGUGCGAUAGAGGGGUGUAGAAUUCCGCGUGUAGUGGUGAAAUGCGUAGAGAUGCGGAGGAAUACCAGUGGCGAAGGCGGCACCCUGGAUCGUAACUGACGCGGAGGCGCGAAAGCAUGGGUAGCGAACGGGAUUAGAAACCCCGGUAGUCCAUGCCGUAAACGAUGUGCACUCGAUGUUCGGCUCGCAUAGCGGGUUGAGUGUCUAAGCAAACGCGGUAAGUGCACCGCCUGGGGAGUACGGUCGCAAGGCUAAAACUUAAAUGAAUUGACGGGG
rnacentral:rRNA from 1 species